CGCUGGCGGCGUGCCUAACACAUGCAAGUCGAACGGGGUAAUGACUUCGGUUAUUACUUAGUGGCGAACGGGUGAGUAACGCGUGAGGAACCUGCCUUUCAGUGGGGGGACAACAGUUGGAAACGACUGCUAAUACCGCAUAAUGUAUUUUAGGGGCAUCCCUUUAAUACCAAAGCUUUAUGUGCUGAAAGAUGGUCUCGCGUCUGAUUAGCUAGAUGGCGGGGUAACGGCCCACCAUGGCGACGAUCAGUAGCCGGUCUGAGAGGAUGAACGGCCACAUUGGGACUGAGAUACGGCCCAGACUCCUACGGGAGGCAGCAGUGGGGAAUAUUGGGCAAUGGGGGAAACCCUGACCCAGCAACGCCGCGUGAAGGAAGAAGGCCUUCGGGUUGUAAACUUCUUUUAGCAGGGACGAAGAACGUGACGGUACCUGCAGAAAAGCAACGGCUAACUACGUG
rnacentral:rRNA from 1 species